AAGGGCUUUAAAGAACAGAAGACAAUUUUAAUUAUUCCUUAUUUAUAAUGAAACAUUUGAGCUACAACGAAAGUUGAAUAGCGGGAAUUUUGCUACUAUGACUAGGGUAAUAAUAUAGCAAGAUCAUCGUGCUUAUUCCAGAUGCAGAAGGAGAUUCUGACAUGACUGAGCUGGAAAGGCGAUUAUGGGCACAAAUUAUGGACUGCCGUUAUAGAAAAUAAGCAGCCUUGUCGACACGCAUGGCGCACAGACUUGUCGAAUUGAUCUUCAUCCUGUCUUUCUUCCCUUCCGAUUUUUUUUCAUUUAAUCAGCAAGUUUCAACAUUAAUUUCAAACAUUUGCCAUCUACAUCCUUUCUAGAGCCAAAUCUUCUUACAUAUUCCACAACCAACUGCGCUGGGUUCAGAAAAUUCGUCAGUAGCGGGUGUUGCUCUUUCAACCAAUCUUACUAUCGAUUCGAUUUUAUUGGUCCAAUUUUGUUUCAAUCCUACAAAAAAACAAAGUCUCUGUAAUACUCAUCAUAAGUCAUACUUACCAAUUAGAGACUAUGAAAUCUCCUAAAAACGACAACGCUUUGCAGAAUUUCUAUUUAAUGCUUUCAUGAACAUUAGCACUACCUGAAUCUGCCUUCUUAUGGUAGUUCAUGGUAAGGCGACCUUUCAGUGAUCUCCACCGCACUUUGCAC